AAGUCGUAACAAGGUUUCCGUAGGUGAACCUGCGGAAGGAUCAUUAAUAAAAGGAUACCUUCGGGUAUACCCCAUCCGUGUCUAUCUACUCUUGUUGCUUUGGCAGGCCGUGGUCCCCCACUGUGGGCUCUGCCUGCAUGUGCCUGCCAGGGGACCAAACUCUGAAUUUUAGUGAUGUCUGAGUACUAUAUAAUAGUUAAAACUUUCAACAACGGAUCUCUUGGUUCUG
rnacentral:misc_RNA from 1 species